CCUGACAAAUAUUUUUAGAAAGAAACAGUGUACACGACAAGUAGUAGCAAUGGGUAUAUACCAGAGGGAUAUCAACUAACUGUUGGGGGUGGAGUACAGGAUGAGGCUGUUCCCCUCACUGGCACAUGUCCUUGUCAUGGUUUUCGCGAUACAAGUGGAAGACGCAUCAGAAACAAGUACAUCCUGCCCCAACGCUGCCUGUAUCGGUCAGGCUGUCAACAUCACGUGUGACAUCACAGGAGUAUACGAGUCUAUUGGGUGGUCCCGGCCGGAUAAUAUUGAAGUGGUAACCUGCCUGCGGAACGGUGGUAAAUGCUACAUAAACGUUCCGAAUUAUGAGACAGUCUUAGUUUCCGAUGAGAAACACAUACUUCGCAUCAAGGAGUUUUCCACGC